GGAGAGCGCAAGUGGGGCUGCGCAGAGAGCGCACGGCCAGCCCGCUGGUGAUGAGCCCGGUAAGUUUUCACUCUGCGCCUAAUUAAUUAUCGACUUCUCUUCCUUUUCCGAAGCAGCCUCAGAAGCCGCUCUGGAUGCGCGUUCCUCGGCCAGAGGCCGCCAGCCCCGCACCCUGCAGAGCCCCGACGUUCUGCAGCGCGGAGGGAACCGGGCGCUGCGCUCCCGCAGCCGCGGCGGAGUUCCCGGAGCUCCACCGGGGAAAUCUUUACGAUUAUUCAGGCGUGGGCCCAAUAUCGGUAUUAUUGAAAUUUUAGGUGAAGUUGUAAGUGAGUGCUUCCAUCGAGCCAAAUGAAAUGCUGCUCGCAGUAAUUGGAUUCAGCUGACUAACUUGGCAGGCCAGCAGCUCGGAGGCAUACAGCUAAGAAAAAUGUUCGCUGCCUUUAACUUCCCAUCGAGCAGAGCAACGCGCAGCACAAGGACGCGCAUACACACACACACACACACACACACACACACACACUCACAAAAGCCGACAAGAAACAACUUCUUUCUUCCCUUCCCUCUCCUCGCUGUCCGGCCGCAGCCCUACCCCAGUACGACGCGGGGCUCUGCGCGGGGUUCCCCGCAAACACAGCCUGGGAGCUCCGCGCAGGCCGCGGGUCGGGGCCGGGGGAAACCGGCCCUGGGUUGGGGGAGGCAGCCGAGCUGCGGGGAGCUGAGGCCGCUCCCAGCGCUUCUGAGCGGCCGUAGCCCCCGGGCACUCCCAGGCAGGCACCGUCCUGCUGCUCCCACCUCCCGAACGCACCGGGACGGCUUCCCGGCGGAUAAAUGUCACCGCGAGCUGCAGCGGCAGAAGCCGGGGGCGCGGGCUGCCAGGUAAUAGCAGGACUAAAACAACCGUGGGGGAGAGGGGGGCAGCAGCCACUGAGCGACACAAACGUGGGGGGAAAGGGCACGAGAACGCACCUGGCAGGAAGAUUUCGGAAACCCAACUGAGGGGCUGCGUUAACCGACGAGCCUGUUUGAGAUCGCACGUUACAAACCAGCACGCCUCCCCCCCCCCGCCACGGCAACGAGUAUCGUGGUGCUCCAUCUUACUUUGCAACGGGAGCAUCCAGCAAAGUUGUCUCUCCCCCUUUUCUUUGUUAUUUGCAAUCCCCUCCUUGAAACCACCGAAAAAUGGAGAUAGGAGAGGGACGAAGCUUUUCCCCCAGCCCUUGGGAAGGAGUUUGCCUUUUAUUUAAGCAGCAUAAUAAAAGACAGAGCUUACAGCCUCCAAGGAGGUGGACGUUACUCCACGCGUUAUGGGCAGAGAUUACAAACAAAUUCCGGGCGGUCUCCGAGUAAAGGCGGUAAUGCAGCCCCUGUGGGGAAAGGUCCCGUUUUGCCAUGCAGUUCCUUACCUGUGUGCCCAUUUAUCACAACCUGGGCUCCUCACUUUUCAGGAUGUGCGCUCGCGGUUCUUAGAAUACAUCCUUCCCCCUUUGUCUGCAGCCAGCACCGUCCUAAACCCGAUCCUGCGGUUUUACAGACAUUUCCACACCAGAAUUCCCGAUAGAAUGAGAACAAGCCCGGGCUCAGCUACCAAUAAAAGAGAGCGAGUGGAAAUCGGAAUUUGGUGGGGUUAAAAAAAAAAAAAAAACUCAACACGCGGCCCUUCAGCCAUCAGCCUCCCGGAAUCAAAGGCAGCAAUUGGCCGCCUUCUCGUUUUGUUUUGUUUUUAAAUCGUGCGGCCAUUGAUGAAUUUUGGGGACGAGCAGGAGAAAGCCCUUUAUAACCAGAAAUAUGGGCACUGCCUUCCAAUACAGCCGGCUUUACCCACGUGAUGCCGGGAGCAGCUCUCUUCGGGCCGAGGCGCGGCAGCUCCCAGCCAGGCCCCCCCCGCGCCCCUCUCCCGGCCCGGGGCUCCGCGCCUCUCCGCGCCGCACGGCGUCCGCACUUACGCGCCCGCCCGAGCGCCGGGAAAAAGGUGAAUUCCGCGGGGUGUUCCCAGGGCUCAGAGAUUGCCGGCGGAGGGAGAGGAGAGGUUUGGGACCGGCCGCGACCCGCGCUGCUCCGGCGGCCGUGCGCAGGGCGGAACGGAGAGCGGGGAUUUUUGUUUUCUCCUUCUCCGUCCCAGGAGCGGGCGGGCGGCAAGGACUAACCCUGGCUGGAGGCUACAGAAGCGUUGGGGGAAAAAAACAACAAGAACUCAUGACAUUUGUGCGUGUGUGCGUCUGCCUGGAGCCUGCCUCCCCGCUCCCUGAGCAAGCCGAGCGCAGAGCGAACCCGAUACUUAUAAAAAGAUUGGAGUCCGGUGAUGGAAGCGUAAGUUCAGUGUAAAUUAUUGUGUACGGCUUCGGAUUUAUAAUCCUAUAUUUCUUCGAAACGACGCACUUAAAUCUCGCCCCGAGUAAGAGGUAAUGGUUCUUUAUAUCCUUGCCGCCUGCCAUCUAUUUCGGCGUCUGUGCGCGUCGCGGAGCCCCGCUCGUGUGCCCCCCGCGGCUCCGCACCCCGCGCCGUGCGUGCGGGGCUGAAGGGCUGCGGGGUUCGGUGCGGGGCUGCGGGGGCUCUCGGCCCGGCGCCCCCGGGGAAGUCCCGCAGCCGUGGGCCGCCGCUCGGGGGCUCCGAAAGGGGCCGUUGAACCUACGCGUGGAGGCCGGCGGGGAGAUGGGUGCGCCUCGGCACCGCCGCCGGAACGAAGGCAUCGCAGGGGGACCGCAAAGCUCCGAAGGAAACGUAAAUCCUUCGCGCCGGUGGGACUCCGGCUUUGCGCGAAUUUGUCUCCAGUAAAGGAUCUAAGAGUUCUUCAAUCGGAGCAUAUGUUCAUAGAGCAAUAAAACAGAAAGAUUUACAGUCUCCGCCCGCCCCCCAGCAGCCUCGCACCCUUUCAGGAAUUACUUAUGAUGAUUUAUAACAACAACUCCGGCAAUUGUCAAACUGAUAAAAUAGCCCGGGCUAUAUGCGGGAAUAAACGCUCUUACGAAGGGGCCGCGAUUUAUGUUCGGGUCCAUUUUACUGCGUCUCUUGGAGGAGUUGGGUUUCCUUCCCGGGCCAACGGGAUAAUAUAAAACUUCAUUGAUAAAAACGUGGGACUCGCGGUGAAGUAGCGAAUCUGUUCCUAAGUCACUACCAAAGCACAUAAACAUUUGUCAUCUUUGAAUAAUUGAAUUAAUGUGUUAUUGUUUGAAUGUAUAAUUCAUAACAUAGGAAACUUUGUCUCUGUCCUGCCACCGAAACGGAAGUAAUAAAAAGCUGCAAUCUCGGAUUUUUUUCGAAAUUACUCCAGCAAGGACAAUAAAGAAUAUCCUGUUUGCAGAAAGCA